GAUGAAUCAAAGCCGAAUCCAUAGAUUCAACCUAUGGUACGGGGGACGCAACACUUAUGGGGUGAAUGUGCAAGACCCGGCAUGCCCGCAACGCAGGGAGCCGGCACUUGACUAGGGAACCUCUUCCCGAACCCGUCAACUAACCUCGGAGGCAUUUAGGAGGGCAAAU
rnacentral:sRNA from 1 species